GUAGUAUGGUUAAGUGAGUUAGCGUACACGGGGGAUGCCUUGGCAGUUGGAGGCGAUGAAGGACGUACUAACUUGCGAUAAGCCUAGUCAAGCCAGUAAGAGGAGCUUGAGACUAGGAUUUCCGAAUGGGGAAACCCACCUGCUUGCAGGUAUCGUUAACUGAAUACAUAGGUUAACGAGGCGAACGCGGAGAACUGAAACAUCUAAGUACCCGUAGGAAAAGAAAUCAACCGAGAUUCCGAAAGUAGCGGCGAGCGAAAUCGGACCAGCCCUUAAGCUUUAGUGUAGUUAGUGGAACAUGCUGGAAAGCAUGACGAAACAGGGUGAUAGUCCCGUACACAAAAACAUAUCUAAAGUGAAA
rnacentral:rRNA from 1 species